rnacentral:tRNA from 1 species
AAUGAAGUGCCUGAUAAAAGGAUUAUUUUGAUAGAAUAAAUAAUGUAUUAAUUACCUUCAUUA